rnacentral:rRNA from 1 species
AAAGUUUGAUCAUGGCUCAGAACGAACGCUGGCGGCGCGUUUAAGCAUGCAAGUCGAGCGGCAAGGGCCUUCGGGCCCCUAGAGCGGCGGACGGGUGAGCAACACGUGGACAAUCUGCCCCCCGGCCCGGGAUAGCCCAGGGAAACCUGGAUUAAUACCGGAUGAGACGGGACCCGCGAUGGCGGGACCCGGGAAAGGCGCUGCGGCGCCGCCGGGGGAUGAGUCUGCGUCCCAUUAGCUAGACGGCGGGGUAACGGCCCACCGUGGCGACGAUGGGUAGCCGGCCUGAGAGGGUGGACGGCCACAUUGGAACUGAGACACGGUCCAGACUCCUACGGGAGGCAGCAGCUAAGAAUCUUCCGCAAUGGGCGAAAGCCUGACGGAGCGACGCCCGCGUGAACGAAGAAGGCCGUGAGGUUGUAAAGUUCUUUUCGGGAGGGGGAACAACCGUGGCAGGGAAUGGCCGCGGGAUGACGUGAAUCCCGGAAUAAGCCCCGGCUAACUACGUGCCAGCAGCGGC